AAUAAAAUGUCUUUUUAAUGUAAAUUACUUGUUAAUUUUAUGGGUUCCUCAACAAAAGAUAAUCAUUUUGAAUAGAAUGCUUGAAAUAGAAUAUUAUAUAAUAUCAUAGAGACAAAUAUAUUGUGGACUUAAAGCCGAUUAUAGAACUAGAUAGCAACCAAUGAGCGUGCUGAUUUAUUUUAUCAACAUGAUAAGAGCUAUGUCCCCCCCUCACGAUAUACCACAAAACGUUCAAUUUAUACACGCUAUUAGCAUAACAAGUCUUGUAUGGCGAGGUUCAAUUCAACAAUACUGUUUAUAAAAAAAGGGGAGACACAGACAGACCAACAAGCGUAUAUAAGGCCACCAGGAUUGGCCCGAGCCGUCGAAAAAAGGUCACCGUUUACGACGGAAAGUCCUUAGCGAGAAAAUAGGAAAAUCGUACCCAUAGUUUAAGGAUUGAAAGGAAAAACAAAGGGAUGGGAGUUGGCGAUGUCCCAGACAACCCCGUUGUGAUGUAGGUCAGGAAUGGCGUCCCCAUUUUGCAGUGCGACGCUGACGACCGACCGGGGGCGCCGACAACAAAUACGAGAAGAAGACACGAAACUGGCUCUACUUCAAUUCAAAGCACUUCCCGUCGUACCGUGGCAUCAAAAUUCAAGCAUUUUAUGAUAGCUUUACGCUUAAGUUAUCAUGAAUACGGAAAUAUUUAUAAUCAUCUUUUCAGAUCUUCUACAAUAAGUCGUAGUUGCAAGACAAUUAAGGUCAACGUUAAUGUAUAUUGUAUCUCAAAAGACAUAAAAGCAAGCCUCCUAACGAGGCAUACAUACCUAUAUACAUACAUACAUUGCAUUGUUUAUUUAUAUUAACUUCAAGGCUUACAAUUUGUCACGCAGUUUCAUGUAAUACACUAUUGUAUAAUAUUAUGUUACCCAUUUACAAUGUUUAUGAAUGUUUAGCGUAAUUCGUUGUACGAUAAGUAGUUCAUUGUUGUUCGCACGUUUUGUUACACGGUUGUAGCUAAUAUUUACAUAUCGUUUACAACAUAAUACAGCCUAUUAUACGAUUUACUAACAGA
rnacentral:lncRNA from 1 species